rnacentral:rRNA from 1 species
UAAAACCAGCACCUCAAGUGGUCAGGAUGAUUAUUGGGCCUAAAGCAUCCGUAGCCGGCUUUGUUAGUUUUCGGUUAAAUCCAUGUGCUCAACGCAUGGGCUGCCGAAAAUACUGCAUAGCUAGGGAGUGGGAGAGGUAGACGGUACUCAGUAGGAAGGGGUAAAAUCCUUUGAUCUAUUGAUGACCACCUGUGGCGAAGGCGGUCUACCAGAACACGUUCGACGGUGAGGGAUGAAAGCUGGGGGAGCAAACCGGAUUAGAUACCCGGGUAGUCCCAGCUGUAAACGAUGCAGACUCGAUGAUGCAUUGGCAUAAUAGCCAGUGCAGUGUCGCAGGGAAGCCGUUAAGUCUGCCGCCUGGGAAGUACGUACGCAAGUAUG